GAUGAACGCUGGCGGCGUGCCUAAUACAUGCAAGUCGAGCGAACGGACGAGAAGCUUGCUUCUCUGAUGUUAGCGGCGGACGGGUGAGUAACACGUGGAUAACCUACCUAUAAUACUGGGAUAACUUCGGGAAACCGGAGCUAAUACCGGAUAAUAUUUUGAACCGCAUGGUUCAAAAGUGAAAGACGGUCUUGCUGUCACUUAUAGAUGGAUCCGCGCUGCAUUAGCUAGUUGGUAAGGUAACGGCUUACCAAGGCAACGAUGCAUAGCCGACCUGAGAGGGUGAUCAGCCACACUGGAACUGAGACACGGUCCAGACUCCUACGGGAGGCAGCAGUAGGGAAUCUUCCGCAAUGGGCGAAAGCCUGACGGAGCAACGCCGCGUGAGUGAUGAAGGUCUUCGGAUCGUAAAACUCUGUUAUUAGGGAAGAACAUAUGUGUAAGUAACUGUGCACAUCUUGACGGUACCUAAUCAGAAAGCCACGGCUAACUACGUG
rnacentral:rRNA from 1 species